rnacentral:rRNA from 1 species
UACAGAGGGUGCAAGCGUUAAUCGGAGUUACUGGGCGUAAAGGGCGCGUAGGCGGUUAUUUAAGUUUGAUGUGAAAUCCCUGGGCUUAACCUAGGAACUGCAUUGAAAACUGGGUAACUGGAGUACUGUAGAGGGUAGUGGAAUUUCCGGUGUAGCGGUGAAAUGCGUAGAGAUCGGAAGGAACACCAGUGGCGAAGGCGGCUACCUGGACAGAUACUGACGCUGAGGCGCGAGAGCGUGGGGAGCAAACAGG